rnacentral:rRNA from 1 species
AUUGAACGCUGGCGGAAUGCCUUACACAUGCAAGUCGAACGGUAGAGGGGGCAACCCCUCGAGAGUGGCGAACGGGUGAGUAAUAUAUCGGAACGUGCCCAGUCGUGGGGGAUAACGUAGCGAAAGUUACGCUAAUACCGCAUACGAUCUAAGGAUGAAAGCGGGGGAUCGCAAGACCUCGCGCGAUUGGAGCGGCCGAUAUCAGAAUAGGUAGUUGGUGGGGUAAAGGCUCACCAAGCCAACGAUCUGUAGCUGGUCUGAGAGGACGACCAGCCACACUGGAACGGAGACACGGUCCAGACGCCUACGGGAGGCAGCAGUGGGGAAUUUUGGACAAUGGACGCAAGUCUGAUCCAGCCAUUCCGCGUGCAGGAUGAAGGCCCUCGGGUUGUAGACUGCUUUUGUACGGAACGAAAAGGUCUCUCUUAAUACGGGGGGCUCAUGACGGUACCGUAAGAAUAAGCACCGGCUAACUACGUGCCAGCCGCCGCGGUAA